AACGUAGGACGCAAGCGUUAUCCGGAGUUACUGGGCGUAAAGCGCGGGCAGGCGGCUCGAUGCGUCUGAUGUGAAAUCUCCUCGCUCAACGGGGAGAGGCCAUUGGAAACGGUCGAGCUGGAGGGCAGUAGAGGUAGGCGGAAUUCCGGGUGGAGUGGUGAAAUGCGUAGAGAUGUGGAGGAAAACCGAUGGCGAAGGCAGCCUCCUGGGCCAACACUGACGCUCAUGCACGAAAGCGUGGGGAGCAAACAGG
rnacentral:rRNA from 1 species